GUAUGCUCACUUUGGCAAACAUAUACUGAAACUGGAAUGAUUCAGGGAAGAUUAGUGUGUCCCCUGAACAAGAAAGACAUGCAAAUUCAUGAAGUAUUCCAUAUUAUU